rnacentral:lncRNA from 1 species
UAUCUAAGCUGUAUUGUAUCUGAAAUUUUGAAAAUUUUCCCGUAUCACCGUAUCGGUAUCAUAUCACGUAUUCAUACUUCAUAGUACUAAAAAUUAACUAAAUUGAAUUUUUUUUAAGUCCACCGUCUAGAAGAGUCCAUCAUUAACUUAAUUGAAUUUUUUUGAAGUCCACAAUCUAGAAGUCCAUCAUUAACUUGAUUGAAUUUUUUUUUGAAGUCCACAAUAUAGAAGAGUUCAUCUCUCUAUUCUCUAACACCUCAUUUGUUCAACAUAAUCUCUCUCACACCAAAGAAGCUCUCUCUCUCACAAACAAACCCUAGCUGCUCAAUUGGAACCGGAAAUAUACCUCCAACAUCAUCAUGUUGUGCUACAAACACAUUUGUACCAUCUUCUUUUCUAUUUAUUAGACACCAUGAACCAAUUUUUGAAAAAUCGUCGUCAUAGACUUUUCUCGACCUUCUCUACAAAACCCACAUUAUAAAAAUAGAGAUUGAAAUACUUUUUCCGGUAACCACCGUACCGGAAAGUGAAACAACCGUACCGGAAAUAUUGUGCGACUUCGUCAUCUCCAUUCUUUAUGUACAUGCAAGAACAACAACAAAUUAAUUAAGACAUGAAAAGAAGGAAUAAAACCAUAUCUGCUUUGAAUCGGUUUGUUUUUAUUUAAUCUAAGUAGAGUGGUUUGAAUCAGUUUAUUUUGUUGUUUAUAUCUUGUUUUUAUUUUUUUCUCUGAUUCUUUUUUCUUUAUAUUAAUUUUUUUGAUUCUCUUUCUAAUUAUCAUUUUUUUAGGCAUCUUUCUUUCUUUCUUUUUUCUAAUUAUCAUGUUAUAUAGACCGAAGUUUUAUUUAAAAAAGUUUCUUGUUUUGAGACAAUUUAUUUUCUUUCUAGAUCUAAUGUUUUAUACUGUAUUUCCAUAUUCUUUGUUAUGUGUUUUAUUUUUUAUUUAGAAAUUGAGAUGAAAAAAAGUUAAUUCAUUUCCUUUCUAAUAUAAAUUUUUUUUAUACGGUAAAAAGUUAAAAUAUAAAAAUUUUUUUGAGACGAAACGAUUAAACUGAUGAAUGGCCACCAAAUGAAGUUUAAUGUGAAAGUUGGAGUUUGAAAGACAAAAAUGUCAAAACUCUCUUUUAUUUUGAUUUUUGUUUUUUUCGUCCCUGUCACUUUUUUUAAGCUCAUUCCUUGAGAAUCAUAAAAUAAACAGUAUUAUUAACAUCUACCCAGAUAUUUAUUGUGCUGAGCAUUAAAUUUUGCUGCAAAUAGAAAAAACUGAUUUGUUAUAUAAUGAAGUUGAAGAUUAUAAAGAUAUGAUAGCAAUAAAGAAUAAAGCGGAAGAAUGAAUUUCACUAACAUGAAAAGAUGCAGCUGAAGCAAACUGGUUUGUAGGCAUUAUUUCCAUUCAUUCUAUAGGAUGAAACACAACAAAAAGUUAAUAGUGAAAAAAUGCAGAAAAAACAAAUAAGCAGUAGUGUGUGGUUUCUACCUUUUAGUUUAUAGUUGUUGAAGUAGUCUCCUAGUUUUUUAUGCAUCAUUGUAGUUACUUAUGUACAAAUUUAUGUUUGUUGAAUAUUUCUUAUACUAUGAGAUCGUUUUCUAAUAAAUUUGGCCGCCUUACAAAAAAAAACAAUGAUAUGAAGGACAUAAAAAAUAAAGGAGAUAUAUGAACAUGAAAAAUAGCGAAUUUGAUAAUC